AAAAGCAGAUAACCACCACUUUCCUAUUAACUUAUGAAGGAAUUCAAAAAAUUCCCCCAAAAUCUAGUUCACAUAAUCAGAAGUACUGAGUGGAUGAAAACAACAAACUUCACCAAUAGCCUUCUUGGCCUGCAAAGUAGCAACUAGGUCUAA